CGUUAUGACGGGCUGCAUGGGCAACCUUCGGGUUGGCCGUUUGUUCCUACGGUAGUGCUAACCUGUGCAAGCCCGUCACCCUC
rnacentral:antisense_RNA from 1 species